rnacentral:rRNA from 1 species
GGAUUAGAUACCCUGGUAGUCCACGCCGUAAACGAUGCAUACCAGGCGUAGCUGGGAUUGACUCCGGCUGUGCCGAAGCUAACGCAAGGAGUAUGCCGCCUGGGGAGUACGGUCGCAAGACUAAAACUCAAAGGAAUUGACGGGGGCCCGCACAAGCGGUGGAUUAUGUGGUUUAAUUCGAAGCAACGCGCAGAACCUUACCUGGGUUUGACAUCCUUGGACCGCUCCAGAGAUGGAGUUUUCUCUUCGGAGACCGAGUGACAGGUGCUGCAUGGCUGUCGUCAGCUCGUGCCG